GGUUUACAAUACAUUCAUACGAUUGCCAUAACAUUAAAAUGAUAGAAAAUAUGUCUUAAAUCAGAUAAACAGUAGGCCUAUAUGUAUGUCUGGUAGGCUAUAGCCUACGUACGUUCCUUGGUGAUGUGGUAAAAGCUAUACAGAUGUGUCUGUUAACUUCAUUGCAGGAGUUCAAGACGCAGGGGAUAUUAAUGCGCUGGUCAGCGCUGGUAAAAUCCGGUUUAAGACGAUACUCUUGGUGUUCAUGUGCUUUUUGUGUUUUUCAUACAUAGCCUACAUUAUUAAACAUAUUAUUAUCAAUAUAUUUAUAUAUUAUUCAUAUAUACAUGAUUAAAUAUAGGUUUUUCCUAUUUGUAAAUAGUUUAACAUGAUGACCACACAGCCUAUUAUGUCAUAUAGGCUAUCAUGUUCAGAGCUUCACUCCAAGACGUUCCUGCAUGAGGAGAGUUCAGUGCUUGUCAAAUCCUAUCUUAGUUUGUUCCAGACAGGUAAUAAGCAAGAUUCAGUUCUGCAAUUUCUCUUACGAGGAACAGAAACCACACACCAGGCACAAGGGCUGCAUUUAGACAGGCAGCCAAAUUCUGAUCUUUUUUUUUCACUAAUUGGUCAUUUGACCAAUCAGAUAAGCUCUGAAAAGAUGUGCUGUGAAUGGUCAAAAUACCAAUGAGUGGAAAAAAAUAUCAGAAUUGGGAUACCUGCUAAAUAUGUGUAUGUGACCAACAACAUUUUAUUUGAUUCGUUUAAACACAGCUUAGCAGAAUCAGGUUAACCAUUUCACAGCAAUAGGGGGAAGUAGGCCAAGAUGUGAUGUCUACAUAAUGGAUGAAUGUAUUUUUCAGAAGAGGGGACUGACGAUGGUACUAAUUGCCAGCAUAGGUCGACUAUGCCUACUGUAGUUUUUAACACUACUUUUACCUCAUGAUGUUUGUUUAGACCUGCCCAUAUGGUGAUCAUGUACAGCAUCUGAAUUCUACAAUGUGUUAUGCUCCAGUUGUAAACUGUGUCGUUUCUAGGCAUACACCACAGACACUAGUGGGCUCCAGGAAGUCUCAACUUACUGUUAGGAUAGUAGAAUACACAACUGGCACAUUUCCAUUGAGGAUGUACCCGUGUUUUCCCCGUGUCUCACUUGGCCAGGGCUCUGGCAGACCUGCUCUGACUUGGAGCCAAGGCAAAGGUACUUUUCAGCGGGCAUUUACAUAACAAUGGAUAACUUUCAACUUUAAAGUAACUGUCCAGUAUUUCCAGAUUUCUUUGAAAUAUGACCUAUAAUUAAUUACAGUAAGAGUGAAAUAGUUUUCCUUCCAAAAAAUAGUAAUUAAGUAUGUAGGAUCUGCCCCUUUUUUUCAAUUUUCGCCUAAAAUGACAUACCCAAAUCUAACUGCCUGUAGCUCAGGCCCUGAAGAAAGGUACCAUUUGAAAGAAAACACUUUCAAGUUUGUGGAAAUGUGAAAGGAAUGUAGGAGAAUAUAACACAAUAGAUCUGGUAAAAUACAAAGAAAAAACGUGUAUUUUCUUUGUACCAUAAUCUUUGAAAUGCAGGAGAAAGGCCAAAUGUAUUAUUCCAGCCCAGAUGCUAUUUAGAUUUUGGCCACUAGAUGGCAGCAGUGUAUGUGCAACGUUUUAGACUGAUCAAAUGAACAAUUGCAUUUCUGUUAAAAAUGUUGUUUCAAGACUGCCCAAAUGUGCCUAAUUUGUUUAUUAAUAACUUUUCAUGUUCAAAAUUGUGCACUCUCCUCAAACAAUAGCAUGGUAUUAUUUCACAGUAAUAGCUACUGUAAAUUGCACAGUGCAGUUAGAUUAACCAGAAUUUAAGCUUUCUGACAAUAUCAGAUGUGUCUAUGUCCUGGGAAAUGUUAUUGUUACUUACAACCUCAUGCUAAUCGCAUUAGCCUACGUUAGCUCAACCGUCCCGUGGAAGGGACACCGAUCCCGAAGAUGUUUUAAAAAACAGCUUUUCUAUGUUGGAAUGAUGUGGGUGUACCCCAACAACAGAAUGGUGGGGGCAUAUACCGGUCAUUAAAAAUAUUAAUGUGAGUAGACCACUGAUUGGCCAGCUCAUCUUCCUUAGAAGGAUGACCUCAUCGUCUAUGAUGAAAUAGCAAGUAUUUUUUGUUUGAGAAGUUUGAGGUGGGGCUUUUUUAGUGUUUUUUCUCCAAUUAAUGCUUUGGCCACAAAUACGAAUAUAGGAUGAGUGAACAACAUUAUUUGGGUAUGAGUUAACAGAAUAUGGACGUUUUCACUGAACAGUUACUGUAACACCUUUUCACAAAGCGACAGUCUUGAAUGAUGCAGAGGUUGUUGAUUCUGCUCACCACAAGCCUUAAAGUGGAACUGACAGUGUUUUAACUACUUUUCAAAUAUGAAACAAACACACAAUCAUAAUUUCAGUCCAAAAUAUUCAAUUCCCGUGCUAGGAUUUGGGUUGUCAAUUCAUUUCGUCCCGCUAAUCAUACCGCCCGCGAUGCGCUGCACAACAAGUCACAAGCGAGUAUAAAUGAAUCUACAGAGUCAUCUACUUUAUGAAAUUACAGCCUGAUGCCCUCGCGUCAGUGGAUUUAAAAAACACAUGUUUUAAGUUGACAUGUUAUGACAACCUAUAGAUACAUUUUUGUUAUUUGGAGUUAUUAAAUACUUUUCUGAUUAGGGUCACAGUAUAUUAUGCACAUCUGCAUGCAUAGCAGCAAAGGCUGGACCAAUAUAAUUGAUCUCUUCUAUUGUUUAAAUAUGUUAAAAUGCUAUAUACAGCAUUCUAUGUACAGGAGUGGACUUUAUAACGGCCAUAUUUUAAUAAAACAAUGGGCAGUUUGGGUCGCAGUUGCACGUUUUUUUGUUAAAACAAGUAGUCUAUGUGUAGCUAGCUAACAUAUUGUUUUUUUCAGUGGCUACAGCUAGAGAUGCAAGUGUCAUUUGGUUAGCUAGCAAGACAUGUGAAUCACUUUGCCAGCUAGCUAUGCUGAACUUGAAGAACUGUUAUCCACAGUUAGCAUAUCUCUUAGUUGUCAAUCAAAUGUAUUUGGCAUCUGUGGGCAGGCAGGCAAGUUCCCAUUGAGUUGUCAAAACGUGGGUUGGGACCAGCAUGCAUUGGCAGGCAAGAUGCUGGUGAUGGGUUGUUUGCGAACGAGUCGGCUCUAAGAGUGAACGUUGGGAGCCGGCUUGCAUGUCAGAAGAGUCUAAUCUAUUUAUAAAUUAAAAAUUAAAAAAUAAGAUAUGAAUAAUCAAAAAAUUUAAAUGAAUAGAAAGAACUAAUUCAAAGAACGAAAAAAUAAAUAAAAUAAUAUAGGCCUAAAUGCUCAAGCGCACACACAUUCCUUCGGACUGUCUGCUCAGACUAACAGCCUCACCUGUUGUUCCUGUCAAUCAGACACUCAGUGUCCACCAAUGAACCAAAGAUGCGUGAGGGAGGGCCGAGCCAACUCACUCACAGUCACAGAGAGAGGAAGGACAGCUGUGAAAACAACAGCUGGAAAAUGAGUCGAAAGCACAGUAGCAUUUGGAUGCAUUUUAAUGUAGACCAUGUUAGAGCACAGUGUAGAAUUUGCCAAAACAAAAUCUCAUAUAAAGCCGUUUCUACGCACAACCUACUCCGGGAAUAUGCGAACUGUGCACCCAACUGUGAAGCUAGCUGUAGCGGAGCUUCGAGAAACUAGCGGGCCUGCUAGUGAUAGUGGUGGAGCCAGCACCUCCACACGUGGAGAUGUAUCCACUCAGUCAAGUAGGCCCACUCCGCGACCCACAGCAACACAGUCUUCUAUGGACCAGUUUAUGCCGAAGUCUAUGUCUGUAGCAAAACAAGGCCAAAUUGAUAUUGCAUUGGCUAAAAUAAUUGCCACCGAUUUACAGCCGUUUUCGAUCGUGGAGGACAGAGGUUUUAGAAAUUAUAGCAAUAGUCUAAUCCAAUAUACACAAUUCCAAGCAGGAAAACCCUUUCAAAAUCACUUAUUCCACAACUGUACAAGAGCACACAGGCUUCAGUGUGGGAAAGAGACCAGAAAGCUACUGCAGUUUGUCUUACCACUGACUGCUGGACAUCAAGGGUAACCACUUCUUACAUGUCGGUUACAUGUCACUUCAUUGAAGAUUUUCUGAUGUCUAGCUGUCUUCUGGACUGCUUUGAGUUCAGCGACAGACACACCUCAGAGAACUUGGCAGAGGAACUGUUGAGAGUGGCCAGAGAAUGGCAAGUAGAUGGAAAAGUGGCCUGUUGGUGUUAGCGACAAUGCAGCUAACAUAACCAAAGCCAUGAACAUUUUAAAAUGGACCCAUCAUCCUUGUCUUGCCAGUGGGUCAUCACCUUCAGAGCAUCUCUUACAAUCAACCUGAUUGUAAGAGAUGCUCUGAAGGUGAUGACCCACUGUGGACAAAGUGAAAGCAGCUGUGGAACACUUCCACAGGAGCACCGUAGGUGCUGAAAAACUAAAGUCUACAUAAUGCCAGAUGCCAAUGCCUGAGCUGAGGCCUAAACAACACUGCACUACAAUGUAGAAUUCAAUAUUUUAUAUGUUGAAGCGGUUUCUUGAGUCAAAGGAUGCCAUCAUCUCUACCCUGGCCAUUGUCAAUGCACCAGUUGAUGCUCUGACCCAAGGGGAAUGGGAGGUGGUGGAGGAGGUGUGCAGAGUCCUGGAACCCUUUGAGCAGGUCACUGUGGAGAUCAGUGGAGAGAGCUAUGUGACAGCCUCAAAAAUGAUACUCCUGUGUGAGGGUCUGCAGCGAAUCACAGCCAGCCGCCAGAGAGAAGCAAAUGUAACCACAGGACAUGUGACAGAGUAGAUGGACACCCUAUGUUCAUCAAUGGACAGAAAGUUCCACAGAAUGGAAUAUAACCAGGUGCUAUCAGAAACCGCUACACUUCACCCCAGGUUUAAUAAGUUAACCUUCAGUGAUGCCAGAGCGAUUGAUGAGGCUCAUCAAAGAAUAACCUCAGCAGCAGGGAGGGGCAGCCCCAGCAGUCAUCUGGCUCAGGCACCAGGGCAACAGGAAGAAGAGGGAUCAGAUGCAGCAGAAGCACCAGCUGUAGUGCCACAAACAUCUGCUGUUUGAAUGCUGUUUGAUGAGAGAGCAACCGGGGAUGCAGCACGAAGGAAUCCCUCAGCAGAUGCCAUAAUGGAGGUCCGAUCCUGUUUGGAGGAGCCACUCUUCUGAGCUGGUGGAAGAACAAGGGCUCUGUCUACCCACGGCUUACUAAAGUCAUGACAGGGAGACUCUGCAUAGUGGCCACAUCCGUUCCCACUGAGAGGGUCUUCUCGAAAACAGGACAAAUUAUUACUGAGAGAAGAAACCGCCUCAGCCCCUCGAAAGUGAGGCAGCUUGUAUUUCUGAAUGCAAAUCUCUCAUAAAAGCAAAACAUGGUCAGCAUUGCUGUGUGCUGCUGGUUAUAACAUGGCAAUAAAAGAAGAGAGAGAAAAGAGGGACCAGUUUAAUGUUUUAAGUGGGAUGCUGCAGUUUUGCAAAUUGUUAUUUAUUUUUAUUUGAUAUGGUGCAAUAUUCUAUUAUGUUUUUCAGAUUGUAUUAGUUUUGAAUGGUUAGAUUUAUAUGCACUUUGUUGAUAUACAUUAAAAAGUUAGACUUUAAA